rnacentral:lncRNA from 1 species
GCUGAGACUCGCCACACAUUUUCGGCUGGUGAUUGGCUCUAAUACCAUUUUAAUCUGUCACGCCUUGGGGUCCCUUUUGGUUUUAAAUCCAAUGCAGAAGUGCCUACCUUUUAAAAAGCCUUGAUCCCAAGAAAUGUCAGAUCCGUCACAAAUACAGGAAGCCCACUGUACACACGAACAGAGUCUUCCUUGUAUUUGCAUGGCGUCGCACAAGUACAAGAUACAACCACAGUAUAUAAACAAUGAUUAUAUACAUUCACCACAUCACAUAGAUCCAUUUACAUUCAUUUAUCACAGAUAUGUAUAAAUCCACAUUUUGGUAUCAGAGCCAAUCACCAGUCGGAAAUGUAUGGCGAGUCUUGGUUGAGGCAGGGUCUGAAAGACAAGGUGAUAGGCUAUGCCGGAGUCUGUAUGACAAGGUGACCGGCUAUGCUAGGGUCUGGAUGACAAGCUAGCGAGACGAGUCUCACAUGGCCUGGUGAUCUUGGGCUGUACGUGUGACUGGACUGACGAGGACGUUAGGGUUUUAACGGGGGGAGUCUGUCACACCCCAAUAAUCCCACAUCGGAUAGAAAUGGGGAUGUGAUUGGGUAUAUAAGAGACUUAGACACUAGUAAUAAUAACUGGGUUUAAGCAUUUUGGGCCCAACGAGUUAUUGUUGCUAGUGGGUUGGGUUGUUACACAUAAGUUUUUUGUCGUUAGAUCUAAUUCUUUGAUUAUUUCCACCCAUUAGAUCAUACUAUUCAACCAACCAUCCACUCAACCCUAGGGGACCACUAUUAAUCAUACUGGGGACCACUAUCAUCCUAACCACACAUCUCUUCAUCUAAUGGUCGAAAACUUAUGAGUACAAAGGGGGCUAUACUCAUAAGAGUGUAGUAGCCCUAUGUCACGGACUUAACGUUUUCGUUCGUAAAGCCCGUGCGGCGCCUACCUUUCUUCGCUGAGAUGGACAAGCCUUUGUCCCUAUUGCUAGCCCGGACCUACGCAUUCUACGACUAAAUAUGCAAAGGGAAGAAACAAGAGAAAGAGACAGAUACUCUCUCAAAAAGCUAAGUACUACACUACUUAGAAAAAGAGAUUACAUCAUACAAACACUCUCUCUUGUGUGUUUUGGCCUUAGCCAAAUCCCACUAUUUAUAGGCCUAAUGAUGCAUUGAACCUAGCCACAUAACUCACCCACUAGCCUACUCAUAAUGAGCCCUCAUAAUAGCCAAAAGCCCAAGAGUCACACCAUAACUCAUGGCAGUUUUGCAACCUUUGAGUUUCCCACAGCGGGUUGGGUUUGGGUCUCCUUGACAACCCGAUUCAACCCGUUUUUGCUAGCAGAGUUGGGCCAGGGACCGGGCUGCCACAGAAUUAUUCUAAGUCUCUGAUACCUAGCCAUAUAUAUAUAUAUAUAUAUAUAUAUAUAUAUAUAUAUAUAUAUAUAUACACUUCUGUCAACUAUCACCUAUUUGGAUUUGACUACCUAACUUUUCAAAAUUUUGAUUUUUCUACUUGACCUUUUAAUUUAUUUGAUUUGAGCCAAUUAGUGACUCUUUAACUUCAAAAUUUUAGUGCGCUAUUUAUUUUUACGGUUUUGUUUAGUAUUUUUAUGCAAUUUAUGUCGCUAUAAAUUCAUUAAAGUAAUUAGCUUAAAUCUUGAAGUCAAAGCGCUGUUGAUUGACUCAAAUCAAACAAAUUGAAAGGUUGGAUAAUAAAAUCUAAAUUUUGAAAGAUUGGAUAGCUGAUUCAAAAUGGUCUAUAGUUCAAGUAAGUUUUAUAUGUUUUUACCAUAUAUAUAUUUUCAUGUAGUAUGUACACAUACUCCAACUAAUAGUGGCAAUAGGGACCCACUAACGGAGGUUGCAUGGAUCCCUUCUACCCCACCCCCCCUGCUGUGGAAGGCCCUAUCCCCUCUCCUUGCCCCCCCACCUUGCCUCUCCACCCCACGCAGUCCAAACGCCUCCUUCCUAUGCACCUCUUCCUCCUGUAACCUAACCGCCCAUUAGGCGAUUCCUAGGGGCGAGGUCGGGGCACACCGCCCUAACACGAUUGCAUUGAAGCUAUACAGCCACUGAAGGAUGAGGCCGCCACCGCUGCAGGAGGAGAGGGUCGGGAGGAAGUAGGUGGGAGUAAUGGAGAAAACUUUCCCCCUGUUUUCCUUCCGUUAGUCAUAGCCGCCAGACUUAAUAGCUGCUACACUCACAGGAGAAUGGCAGCUGCACUAUAUAUAUAUAUAUCGUCAUUUUGGGGAUCGUGCAUCCUAUUUGACGAUCAACACUGUUAAACACGACCUUGGCUAGUUGAGCUUAUUAGGAAUCAAAUUUCGAGAUUUUAUGAUAUCAUUUGCAUGAUGAUCAAGUGGUGUUGACUGUUGAGUUCACCUUUGUUUGAGUUUAGGCUGACAACUGGUUGUAGAAAUGCUAAAAGAUCAGUAACUUAUAGUAAUUUAUCACUGGUUCAUUUGAUCUGCAAUUCCAGAACAUUUAACAAUCAGGAGAUUGAGUUGAUUUGCAAGAUUCAUUCUCCAUUCUCUGUUGCUGUCACUGCUUGAUUUGAUCUGCUAAAUCUGUAGUUUAUUUGCUCUUUGACCUUGCUAUCUUAAACCCUUUAGAUUUUUCCUAUGCAUUUAUAACUUGUUCAAGACUGCUUCACACAGAUUAGUUAAGAGUGAUAUGAUUCAUUUAUUCCCUCUUAUUUGCUCAUUUAUAAUUCAAUGAAAUGGAUUUAUAUUCUUUUUGUAUUUAAUGAAAUUUACUCAUCUCACUUGUACUUUUCAUCACUUCAAACAGAUGUCUUACCAUAUUUGACUAGAAAUCAAAUUUACUCCUCUCAUUUUAUGACUAGAAACCAAAUUUAUGAUUUCAGUUCACGUAUCUUAUACAUUAAUAUUGUAACUCAGCAAUUCCUUCCCUUAAGCCUACCAUGUGAAGUCCCUAGUGACCCCAUCAUAAGAUUUUCCAAAAUCAAAUCUUGCUUUGUACAUGAUAAUGAUAACCAUUAAUACUAGUCUUACCAUGUUUGACUUGAAAUCAUAAAGCAUAAGCUGUUAUCAAUCUGCUGUCUGGUUAUUUUGUUGGUUAUUCGACACUGUACUAUAUCUUCACACUUCAGUAUAUCCUGUUCUAUGGAUUUACGCAUUAGAAGUCAUGUGUAUUUGAAGAAAAUUGGUUUUGGCUAUGUCUUAUUUGAAGAAUAUUGUUUUUGGAGACAUUCUUGGAAAUCACCCUUUUUCCUUUAAGAUUGAAAAUUUUGUAGUUAUUGGUUGAUCUAUAUUUGCACUAGAUUCAUAUCCGUGCAAUGCAUUGAUGCGUACAUAAAAACAUUUAUUUCCUAUUUUAUUUUUUGUUUCUAUCUUAUUUUUGUAUAUCUAUGUAAUAUUAUUCCACUUUUUCUUAUUUUUAUUUCAAGUUAAGAUAGAUCGGUUAUAUUCUUCUUACUCCUAACCAAAAUCUACUCUUAUCUUAUAGAUUUAAAGUUGGGUUGAUUGAAAAGUUCUAUUUUAUGUUAUAAAUUUAAAGAUGGUCUGAUUAAAAAUUUGAGUAAUUUAAGGGGUGUUUUUAAAGGUAAUGACAUGGCGUCACGAAAAUACACUAUAUUGAUAUAUUGAUAAUUUGAUAUUGAUACUUAAGUAUAAAUAAUUUUAUUAUUAAUUGUUGAUAUACAUUUGUAUAAUGUGGCAAAUGGUAUAAAGAAAGUUCUGUAUAGGUUUUCCUCUGUAUAACAGAAACAAUUGCUUUCUAGUUUCUACAUAUGAAGAUACAGUAAUGACAAUAUUUGUUAGAUGCUUUUUAGAACAAAUGUGUAUAACAGAAACAAUUGCUUUCUAGUUUCUACAUAUGAAGAUACAGUAAUGACAAUCUUUUUUGGAUGUUUUUUAGAACAAAUGUGGAAGAAAUUAAAGUGUGGGAUAAUUUUGACAAGAAUAACUUGUUAUAUAUUAUAUAUUGGCAAAUUGUAGAAAGUAUGAUAUUUCUUUUGCCGCCUAAGAAGCAUUAUGUCCUAAAUUCCUCAAAGUAAUCGGUGUUGUGUUAUUGAGCCUUGAGUUAGUGCCAUGCUCCUCUCCCCAUGUCCAUUUAAUACAAGGAUAAAAGUGCCCAUUGGCACGGGCCGUAUCCACCGUGCUGUAUCUUGCCAGCAAGAUAUCGGCACGACACAACUCCCGUGCUGAUGGCACAACUCAAGACCCUCUAUUCUUGAAAUUGAUAAGUAAUUUUCUUAACAAAGUUCAAAAGAUUUGAUAAAAAUACAUAAUAAAUAAUUGGCAUAUGUUAUUGCUAAAGAAAAUAAAUAUUUGAUGCUGUUACGUGUCGGCACACAUAUAUUUUUUGUGACCGGCACGCAUCGGUAGGGGUGGAAACGAGCCGAGCUCGAGCGAGCUUAUCUUGGCUCAAAUUCGGCUUGAAAUUAAUUUCGAGCCUAAAUUUAAGCUCAAGCUUGGAUUGAAAUUAAUUCGGUACGAGCUCGAGCGAGCCAAAUUUCGAGUCGAGCGAGCUCGAGCCCUAAACGAGCCGCUUGAAAUUCUCAACAUCAUACGAUCAAUAGUUUAAUUUGUGUAGAAUAUUAUCUAUAAUUUGAUACAAAAAUACGUCUAAUAGUUCAAAGUACAAAAUAAUUCUAUGAAAUAUAGUAUUAUAAUAUGAAGAAAAAUAAUUUAUGAGUUGAAUACUUAAUCUUUUCAGGCUCACAUGUCUUCUCUUCCGCCUUCAAUCUCCAAAUUAUUCAUUUUUAUUUAUGCAGUCAAAAAUAAAUAAAUUAUAUAGAUAAAUAUUGGAUUAAACUAUCCAAUUAUAUAUAACUAAAAUUAAAAUUUUAUAUAAAUAAUAACUUUUUACUUUAAAAAUAUUCUGUAUAUUUUCUCAAACAUACAAUUAAUAGCAAGGUAGGUAACGGUGGGCAUAUACUGUUAUUUGGUAAUUUGGAGGGCUUCCGGCUUGGCUACUUAGGGUGAGAGACAGAAAAAAAAGAAAGAGAGAAACAUAUUGAAAUUUUAGAGCUCAGUGAAAGAAAGAAAAAAAAGGAAAAAUGUAUAAAUUUAAUGAAAUUUUGCUCUUUUAUUUGUCUAUUGGGUUUGUUUUUAUGGGCCAACAACAUUGGCCCAAUUUUAACUAAACUCAGGUUAUUCACUCGGACUAUAUAUAAUUAAAAAUAUAUUAUAUUUGUAUAUUUUUUAAUAUAUAUAUAUAUAUAUAUAUAGAGAGAGAGAGAGAGAGAGAGUCCGGCUAUGGUGCUUGUAAAAGUAUCAAGCACUUGGUGCUUGUAAAUUUUUUACCGUUAGAUCUUUGCCUUUGAUCAUUUUUACCCGUUAGAUUAUACUAUUCAACCAACCACCCACUCAACCCUAGGGUGCCCACAUCAUCCUAACCGCACAUCCUUUAAUCCAAGGGCCGAAAACUUACAAGUACGAAUGACUUGGUACUUUUAAAAGCAUAGGAGCUCAAUUCUAUAUAUAUAUAUAUAUAUAUA